GAUGAAGAACGUAGCGAAAUGCGAUAAGUAAUGUGAAUUGCAGAACUCAGUGAAUCAUCGAGUCUUUGAACGCACAUUGCGCCCCCUGGUAUUCCGGGGGGCAUGCCUGUCCGAGCGUCAUUGCUGCCCUCAAGCACGGCUUGGGUGUUGGGCCUCCGUCCUCCUCCCGGGGGACGGGCCCGAAAGGCAGCGGCGGCACCGCGUCCGGUCCUCGAGCGUAUGGGGCUUCGUCACCCGCUCUUGUAGGCCCGGCCGGCGCUUGCCGACACAUCAAUCUUUUUUCCAGGUUGACCUCGGAUCAGGUAGGGAUACCCGCUGAACUUAAGCAUAUCAAUAAGCGGAGGA
rnacentral:misc_RNA from 1 species